rnacentral:lncRNA from 1 species
AGCUCUGCUCCUGUGUGGGGUUUUGUGUGCCCUGUUCCUCAGGAAUAGCGACUACAGCCAGCUCCAUGAAGACACAGUACGUCAUGUUGGGCACCAAGCUGUCUGCACUGACCAUGUCUGUGACGGGUGAGGCUGCCUCAGUCCCCCUCAAACUGGCAGGCAUCCAACCUUCCUUCUCCUCUGCCAGCUCACUCCCUGGCCUCGUCACCUUUGUGACCUCCUGUGUUGUUGGGUUGUGUCAUGGAGAUCCGUGGUGCUGGGGCAGGCCCAAACUCCCCACCUUGACAGCAGGCACGUUUCCAAAAUCUCUGCUCGCUUCCUCAUCCUGCUGGCUCCAAUUGAGAAGAUCCAAUUGACAGCUUUGCUAGCCACCACAGCAGGGGAAAUGUGAUUGUUAUGGUGAGCCUGGAAAACAGAGCAGGUGAAUAAACAUUUCCACCUCUGGCUGUUUAUUCCUUGAGAGACGCCAUCUGUCCCUUCCCACCCUUCCUAGACUGCCCGCGUGCCAGCUCCAGAUGCUGCCCAGCUUUUGGGGGACUUGCUGUGACCACACAGUCUCAUCGCUGCCUGGUGCACUGGAUUUCACAGCAUCCUGAUGGUGAGCAGUGGUCUUGUGAGGAUGCUGAGCUCUUGAGCUCUGCCCUUUUCCUGGACCAGUAUCUUAAGUUGUCCUGAGCCCAGGGCCUGUCUUUGUGUUUCCCUGGGGUUCUGUGACAAAGUGAGCGAGACUGGACUUUGCCAGCCACCAGCUUCACAACCCAAAAGACAGCAGCAGAGCAGACCUGCUGCUUGUGGCAGCCCUGUGGCUCUGCCCUUUUGCCAGCCUGGAGAGCUGAAUCAGCUCCAAGAUGUGGGGCCAGUUGUCCUCCUGACAGUUUAUCCUGAUCCUUCCCUGAGUCCUGUUGCUAACCAGCAAUGAGAGGAGCAGGAGACAGACAGAAGGAUCUGGCCUUCUGCUGGGUGACAGCCGCCUGCAUGACCUGUUCCUGCUUUCAUUUUUUUUUUUUUCCCAAGGUGGUGUAGUAAUUGGACAGAUGAAUGUGAUGGCAAAAGGUGUUUCACCAGCAGUGUAGUGAUGGAAGGAUUGGCACAAUAGUAAGGUGCUAUAAAGGAAGGGAAGAAGAAACUUCACCACUGAAUGCCGCUCCUCACCCUGACAGGAAUGCACUACACUAACGCUUAGCCUCAAAGCUUCCCUUAAAGCCAAAACUCAAACGCUAUUGAACAC